GCCGCCAGGGCCCCGAGCCCGGGGGCUGCGGAGGGGAGCGCGCCCGGGGCUCACCUUGGCCUGGAAGUGGAUGCCGUGCUGAAAGGCCUCCUCGUUGUGCAGCGGGACGCGGGAGUCGCAGCCAUCGUCCACCAGGUUUUCUCGGGGACAAGGCACUGCCAAGCCCAGGUUGGCAGUACAGUUCCUCAGUGUGAGCUGCUGGGAUCAGCAUGCUGUCACGGUGGAAAACUGUUCAGUUUGCUGCAUCUGUAAAACUGCUUUAUUCCUGGAUUCCUCCUUGGACCUGGCACUUUCCUGUGCACACACAGACUCAGAGAUUUGGAACAAGAUCAUCUUUAAGGUUCCUCCCAACCCAAACAUUUCUGUGAUCUGGUGGUGGUGGUGAAACGAAAGCUGUGCCUUCAGUGAUGGACAUGGAAAAGACACCACCCAGUCAGCUCAUCCUGCCAACAUUACCAGCCCCUCCGAGCUCCUGCUGGAACAUGGAAACGCUCCCGGGUUUUUAAUUAAACACUGUCACAGAUAUAAAAAAAGAAUGUACAUCUUUUAAUAGCAACAUGAGAGCAGCCAAGAGCGAGCUACCUGGCCUUAGCCUUCCUGGUCACUUCACGUUGCAAGACACAGCUCUAUUUAAUUAAUUCAUUCGUUUCUUCGUUGCCUGCAAGGGUAAAUGAUGGAAGACUGGUGAGGCACUGAAAAAAUAAGCAUCUUGACACGACCUUGUUAUUUUAUCUCGCAGCUAACUGGCAGUGCCAACUUUUCCUGCAUUUAUUUAAAUUAUGCUGUAGUUUAAAUAAUUUCUGCUGAUAGCCUGCUUCA